AUUGUUACUCUAACAAUGGCACUGACAUUUUCUUAGUAAUUAGUAAGUGCUAUUUGUUGGGGUAGUUUUA
rfam:Astyanax mexicanus Tnplaced_Scaffold3394, whole genome shotgun sequence.